rnacentral:misc_RNA from 1 species
CUUGUAUCGCUCCAGCAGGUCGAAGAAGCUUGCCGGAUUGCGCAGGCCCCUUGCCGCACUGUGCUCGACCACGAAUUUCUCGCCGUACAAUUCCGUGCGUCCGUCGAUAUAGGGCGCGACACCCUGCGAGAUCAGGUAGCCGCCGAAGUCGUAAUCGUUGAACACCCGCUUCGCCUGAUGCUGUUUCAGCGCCUGCACCGCCGCGGCCGGUGACA